rnacentral:rRNA from 1 species
GACCAGACUCCUACGGGAGGCAGCAGUGGGGAAUAUUGCACAAUGGGGGAAACCCUGAUGCAGCGACGCCGCGUGAGUGAAGAGGUAUUUCGGUAUGUAAAGCUCUAUCAGCAGGGAAGAAAAUGACGGUACCUGACUAAGAAGCCCCGGCUAACUACGUGCCAGCAGCCGCGGUAAUACGUAGGGGGCAAGCGUUAUCCGGAUUUACUGGGUGUAAAGGGAGCGUAGACGGCAUGGCAAGUCAGAUGUGAAAGCCCGGGGCUCAACCCCGGGACUGCAUUUGAAACUGUCAGGCUGGAGUGCAGGAGAGGUAAGUGGAAUUCCUAGUGUAGCGGUGAAAUGCGUAGAUAUUAGGAGGAACACCAGUGGCGAAGGCGGCUUACUGGACUGUAACUGACGUUGAGGCUCGAAAGCGUGGGGAGCAAACAGGAUUAGAUACCCGCGUA